GGCGCUUUGGCCGAGCGGUCUAAGGCGAGAGACUAGAAUAUUCUCUUCGAGUUAAAUAUCUGAUAUCUCUUAUCUUCGGAUGCGCAGGUUCAAAUCCUGCAGGCGUCG